rnacentral:lncRNA from 1 species
UCUUUCUUCGCUCUCUCCCUCGGUCUCUCUCCGUCCCGGCACGAGCAGAGGCGUCGGGCGUUACUACGGCGUAACGGCCGCGGCUGCCCUCCUCCUCCUCCUCCGUUCUCCCUCGCCUACCUCUCAUCUCCAUUUGUCCCUCACCAUCCUCUCUCUUUCUCUCUCCCCUUCCCUCCUCAUGUGGAGGCAUGCAACGAGGCGGUGGCAAGCGCUAGGUGAUGGUGGCUCUAAGGGCGGUGCGACGGGAUGGGAGGGGCUCGGCGGUCACCUCGCUCUCCCCCAUCCUCCGUGCAGCCUCCUCAAUGCCUCCUCCCGCUAGGGAGCUUAUGCUUCUUUGCUCGACGAAACCCUAAGUGUUGUUCGGUGGCGGCGGCGGCGGCGGUGAAGCUCCACGAGUAGAUUUGCCGGUGACUCACUUUCCUCCUUCAUCCUAGGCGAUAGAUUCUGUGAUAGAAGCCCUAUCCACGUCGCUCCAAGUGUCCUUGGCCAUCCGAUCUCGCGUUCAACGGCCCAGAUCGCUCGAAGCGGUUUCUCACCGGCACCAGCUUCUUCUGCUUUUGGUUAGCUUCUCUCGCUUCUUCUUUGCUUCUCUGGCUUCUUUUCAGAAUCCGGGAAACUGAAUAUAUACUCUGGCUUCCACUUCUCCUUCCAGAUUCUUCCCUCCUCUCUUUCUUCGCUCUCUCCCUCGGUCUCUCUUCGUCCCGGCACGAGCAGAGACGUCGGGCGUGACUACGGUGCAACGGCGGCGGCGGCCCUCCUCCUCCUCCUCCGUUCUCCCUCGCCUACCUCUCAUCUCCGUUUGUCCCUCACCAUCCUCUCUCUUUCUCUCUCCCCUUCCCUCCUCAUGUGGAGGCAGGCAACAAGGCGGCAGCUAGCGCUAGGUGACGGCGCCUCUGAGGGCGGUGCGACGGGAUGGGAGGGGCUCGGCGGUCACCUCGCUCUCCCCCAUCCUCCGUGCAGCCUCCUCAAUGCCUCCUCCUGCUAGGGAGCUUAUGCUUCUUUGCUCGACGAAACCCUAAGUGUCUGUUCGGCGGCGGCGACAGCGGCGGCGGUGAAGCUCGACGAGUAGAUUUGCCGGUGACUCACUUUCCUCCUUCGUCCCAUGGCUGCUCCCCAAGGUUCUCUCAGUCGCAUUUUUUUUGGAGCGGCAGAUCCUCACAAAAAUUUCUAUGGCACAAUUCCUAUGGCAAUUGACAACUGCAGAUUCUAAAGCUUGUG